CAUCAUUUUGUUCGAUUUAAAGGACCACUAUAGUGCCAGGAAAACAUACUUGUUUUCCUGGCACUAUAGUGACCUGAGGGUGCCCCCACCCUCAGGGUCCCCCUCUCGUCGGGCUCUGGGGGGAGGAAGGGGUUAAACUUACCUCUUUCUCCAGGGGAGCUCUCCUCCUUCUCUCCGCCUCUUCGGCUGAAUGCGAAUGUGCGGAAGGAGCUGCAUACGCAUUCAGCCAGUCCAUAGGAAAGCAUUCACAAUGCUUUCCUAUGGACGCUGGCGUCUUCUCACUGUGAAAAUCACAGUGAGAAGCGCGGAAGCCCUCUAGCAGCUGUCAAUGAGACAGCCACUAGAGGCUGGAUUAACCCAUUUAUAAACAUAACAGUUUCUAUGAAACUGCUAUGUUUAUAGAAAAAAGGGUUAAACCUAGCUGGACCAGGCACCCAGACCAUUUCAUUAAGCUGAAGUGGUCUGGGUGCCUAUAGUGGUCCUUUAAUAAAGGACUUUUUUACCACUGUGGAUUUGUGAAUCCGAUAGGGCUUCAGUCCCGGUAGCUGGAGCUACUAAUCUGUUCUAAGGGGCUCGUUGUGUGGCUAUCAAGCCUUUUAACUUAGGGGAAUAGGCAAUUGAUAUAUUAAAUAGUGCACGAUUAACCUAUCAAGACACUCUCAAUUUAGUCUAUCUCAGAAAAGAUCUAUGUUUCUGUAACGAUAUGCAUUGUGUGUUGGCAACUGUAUACAUAGCAGUUAAAUCAUUGAUACAAUUAUGGCGGUGCAGAUUUUAUCAAUGUGCAGAUUUUAUCAAUAAGGAGUGGAACGUAAAUGUCAGGCUGCCAUAGAUGAUAAUAAGGAGGGUUUUCUAGCAUUGGUAAACAUACAUAGUGUUGGUCCCUGUUCUGUGCCUUUGAGGGCACCCCUUAAUCAAAAGCCUAAUAGCUUCUAUGUUCGAAAUAGUCCUGUUGCCCAUCCGGCGUUAGGUCAAGUUGAUAAAUUGUUGUUACAACUUGAAAAGAG